AGCAAAUAGACAUGAAAACCAGAGUUCACUGUGUUCAUCCUACGUGUUCCAGGGCCAGUAACAGAAGCCAGGAUCUGUGAGAAGAGCAGAGGUGAGCCCACGCUCCACACCAGGAGACAGCCGAGGUAAGUGACCAGCAGGGGGGACACACAGACAGAACAGGGACGCACACACACACAUAGAAUAGGGACACACACACACACACAUAGAAUAGGGACACACAG